GUUCACGCCAAAUCGGGCAGGGCGAGGAACAGUAAGGAACUCCGGGAUUCUGGCAGUGGCUCCACAUAAGCUGCAAUCCAGCAAAGGAAAUCUUGCAUUAAACCUGAAUUCUUCAACAGACUUCUUCUUUCCCGAAUCUUUUACUGCUGAAGCAGCGUAAGGAUUCUUGCUCGUUUCAGCAUGCUGAUGAUGGUGAACUGU
rnacentral:misc_RNA from 1 species